AACAUAGCUUAAAUGUGCAAAAGCUUCUAACUUUUUCAAGAGUAGACAACCCUAUUCCUAUGUUU
rnacentral:tRNA from 1 species